GGUGCUAAUACCGUAUAACACUAUUUUCCGCAUGGAAGAAAGUUGAAAGGCGCUUUUGCGUCACUGAUGGAUGGACCCGCGGUGCAUUAGCUAGUUGGUGAGGUAACGGCUCACCAAGGCCACGAUGCAUAGCCGACCUGAGAGGGUGAUCGGCCACACUGGGACUGAGACACGGCCCAGACUCCUACGGGAGGCAGCAGUAGGGAAUCUUCGGCAAUGGACGAAAGUCUGACCGAGCAACGCCGCGUGAGUGAAGAAGGUUUUCGGAUCGUAAAACUCUGUUGUUAGAGAAGAACAAGGAUGAGAGUAAAAUGUUCAUCCCUUGACGGUAUCUAACCAGAAAGCCACGGCUAACUACGUGCCAGCAGCCGCGGUAAUACGUAGGUGGCAAGCGUUGUCCGGAUUUAUUGGGCGUAAAGCGAGCGCAGGCGGUUUCUUAAGUCUGAUGUGAAAGCCCCCGGCUCAACCGGGGAGGGUCAUUGGAAACUGGGAGACUUGAGUGCAGAAGAGGAGAGUGGAAUUCCAUGUGUAGCGGUGAAAUGCGUAGAUAUGUGGAGGAACACCAGUGGCGAAGGCGGCUCUCUGGUCUGUAACUGACGCUGAGGCUCGAAAGCGUGGGGAGCGAACAGGAUUAGAUACCCUGGUAGUCCACGCCGUAAACGA
rnacentral:rRNA from 1 species